rnacentral:rRNA from 1 species
GUGGGGAAUUUUGGACAAUGGGCGCAAGCCUGAUCCAGCAAUGCCGCGUGCAGGAAGAAGGCCUUCGGGUUGUAAACUGCUUUUGUACGGAACGAAACGGUCCGGGUUAAUACCCUGGGCUAAUGACGGUACCGUAAGAAUAAGCACCGGCUAACUACGUGCCAGCAGCCGCGGUAAUACGUAGGGUGCAAGCGUUAAUCGGAAUUACUGGGCGUAAAGCGUGCGCAGGCGGUUUUGUAAGACAGGCGUGAAAUCCCCGGGCUCAACCUGGGAAUUGCUCUUGUGACUGCAAGGCUGGAGUGCGGCAGAGGGGGAUGGAAUUCCGCGUGUAGCAGUGAAAUGCGUAGAUAUGCGGAGGAACACCGAUGGCGAAGGCAAUCCCCUGGGCCUGCACUGACGCUCAUGCACGAAAGCGUGGGGAGCAAACAGGAUUAGAAACCCGAGUAGUCC